rnacentral:rRNA from 1 species
AGUGAACGCUGGCGGUAGGCCUAACACAUGCAAGUCGAACGGCAGCACAGUAAGAGCUUGCUCUUACGGGUGGCGAGUGGCGGACGGGUGAGGAAUACAUCGGAAUCUACUUUUUCGUGGGGGAUAACGUAGGGAAACUUACGCUAAUACCGCAUACGACCUACGGGUGAAAGCGGGGGAUCUUCGGACCUUGCGCGAUUGAAUGAGCCGAUGUCGGAUUAGCUAGUUGGCGGGGUAAAGGCCCACCAAGGCGACGAUCCGUAGCUGGUCUGAGAGGAUGAUCAGCCACACUGGAACUGAGACACGGUCCAGACUCCUACGGGAGGCAGCAGUGGGGAAUAUUGGACAAUGGGCGCAAGCCUGAUCCAGCCAUACCGCGUGGGUGAAGAAGGCCUUCGGGUUGUAAAGCCCUUUUGUUGGGAAAGAGAAGCAGCAGGUUAAUACCCCGCUGUUCUGACGGUACCCAAAGAAUAAGCACCGGCUAACUUCGUG